AUUGAACGCUGGCGGCAGGCCUAACACAUGCAAGUCGAACGAGUGGCGGACGGGUGAGUAAUGUCUGGGAAACUGCCUGAUGGAGGGGGAUCACUACUGGAAACGGUAGCUAAUACCGCAUACCCUCGGAUGUGCCCAGAUGGGAGUCGCUAGUAGGUGGGGUAACGGCUCACCUAGGCGACGACCCCUAGCUGGUCUGAGAGGAUGACCAGCCAAGCGGGAACUGAGACAGGGUCCAGACUCCGACGGGAGGCAGAAUGGGGGAAUAUUGCACAAUGGGAGCAAGCCGGAUGCAGCCAUGCCGCGUGUAUGAAGAAGGCCUUCGGGUUGUAAAGUACUUUCAGCGGGGAGGCGGUACCCGCAGAAGAAGCACCGGCUAACUCCGUGCCAGCAGCCGCGGUAAUUC
rnacentral:rRNA from 1 species